rnacentral:piRNA from 1 species
UCACUGCGAACACACCAUUUAACAGAC